rnacentral:miRNA from 1 species
UCACCACAGUUCACCUGGCCAGA